UAACAUCCAAAUUCAAUUAAUAGAGAAAUAGUAAUUAGAGAGAAUUAUUAGGGAAGCUGAAUUUGAUGCUCUGUGAUUCUAGCUGCAAGAUAAACUAUGGAAUUUAAGAAAUUAUUAUGGAAAAGUGAUUUAGCAACCUUAAUGAACUGUUGUUGUUGCUGUACUGUAGGCUGAUGUUGUUAAAACUGAUUGGUAUGAUUAGAAUGGUUAUAGCUGAAUUCUAUGAAAUUUUAGUGAAAAAUUCGUAUGACAGUACAGGUACUAAUCGAGUCAUAGCUGUUGCUGUGUAGCCCAGACUUGUGUAAUUGUUUGAUUUUCGGAUUCUACACUUAAUUCCCUUCAGUUUGGAUAUACGUUUGAUAUGUUUUGGAUUAGAAAUGGAUUCGGAAAACGCCUUUGAAGUUUGAAUAUUGAUGCUGGAAACUGCAUACGGGUUUUGGCAUGGAUUUUGUAGAAUAAGCUAAAAUGUGUGUUUAAGUUGGGUGAAUGAUUCCAUAACUGAAUAUGUAUGCUUAAUUGGCUGAGUAAGAGCUUGGUUUGAAGUUGAAAUGAAAAAAUUAGAGGUUGGAAGUCAGUAGCAGUUUUAUGCAGAAAAUCUGUCACGAGUUUGCAUAUGUGAGCAGCACCAUCGGAUGGUUCUAAGCGGGCGAGAUGGCUCGGUAUUGCUAGCAAUUCCAGGUGGGUUCCCUUAGAGCCUUAAACCCUAGUUAGUUUAGCUCCAUUAGUUUCCCCAAAUAAAAUAAAGGCAUGAUAACAUUAGUUCAGUUAGAAUAUUAGUUCCCCAAUUUAUCAGUUGCAUGACAAUACUAGGAUUUAAGGAAUUUAUUGUGUGAGAAUGGUUAAAUCCCCAAACUAUUCUCCGUUCUGAAUAUAUGGACUAAUUACAGUGUCUGAAAUUAGGAAUAUAUGGAUUGUAGGUGAUUAUUGGCUUGAUUUCUCAUAAAAAUGCAAAGAGAGUUUUAUACUGAUGUACUCACUUAGCGAUGAAUGACUUCGCUGGGNNNNNNNNNNNNNNNNNNNNNNNNNNNCGAGAAUGUCAUAAUAGAACACUGCAGAAUUUUACUUUAACCGCCAAAUCACUCGUUUUAUAUUCUUAUUCUUCCUAAUGUAUUUCUCUGGACAGUGUAACAUCGUUACAUAUUUAGAAUGUUAAUCACUAUUCAUGAAAUUAAGUAUCAGGAAUCAGGACAAUUUAGAGAUACCCUGGGAGGGAAUUCAUGGGUAGGAUAACAAUCAGGAUUAUUAAGUUAAGGUAAGAAAGUCAAUCAAUUAUGGUGGUUACUUAUGUACCAUGUUAUGGGAUUCCUUAGAAUCCAAUUAUGUUAUGAUUGUAAGCUUCAGUCGUGUCGAUGUAUAUUAUUAUCGCAGACAGACAUGUCAGGCCUCUGAGACCGGCUCACCUCAGAGUGUCUUUGUUAUGAAUAAAAUGAACAAGAUAAAUAAUUUGUGUUACACCUUUACGUAUUAUGUUAUGAAAUUAUGUUAUGUAAAUCAUGUUUAGAGAUUGACUAUUAGAUCAGAGAACUAUUAGUUCAUCAGUUGCCCCGAUGUAGACACCAAUUGGGUAGUAGGAAUCCACUGAGACGAAGUGACUGUUCUCAUCCCCCACUUAUUUGAUUUCAGAUAAACAGGUUGAUCAAAUGGUCUGCAAGCAUGAAGUUCAAAUACUUGGAUUAUGCUAGUUGAGCUGACGUCAUGUUAUCUUAUAUUUGUAUAAGAUUUAGUUUCUUUAUGUUUUCCGUUGUUAGCUCAAUUUAGUAUUAAUCUCUUGGAAUUUUUUAAUCCUAUUUAUGUAUUCGGACAAUAUGUAAUGAAAAUUUAAUGUUUCCCGAUUCAGUUAUGUACACUCUUGUCGAUAUUCU
rnacentral:lncRNA from 1 species